rnacentral:rRNA from 1 species
UACGUAGGGGGCAAGCGUUGUCCGGAUUUAUUGGGCGUAAAGAGCGUGUAGGCGGCUAGAUAGGUCCGUUGUGAAAAACUCGAGGCUCAACCUCGAGACGUCGAUGGAAACCAUCUGGCUAGAGUCCGGAAGAGGAGAGUGGAAUUCCUGGUGUAGCGGUGAAAUGCGCAGAUAUCAGGAAGAACACCCCGUGGCGAAGGCGGCUCUCUGGUACGUGACUGACGCUGAGACGCGAAAAAGCGUGGGGGGAGCAAAACAGG